rnacentral:rRNA from 1 species
UACAGAGGGGGCAAGCGUUGUUCGGAAUUACUGGGCGUAAAGGGCGCGUAGGCGGCCGCCUAAGUCAGACGUGAAAUCCCUCGGCUCAACCGGGGAACUGCGUCUGAUACUGGAUGGCUUGAAUUCGGGAGAGGGAUGCGGAAUUCCAGGUGUAGCGGUGAAAUGCGUAGAUAUCUGGAGGAACACCGGUGGCGAAGGCGGCAUCCUGGACCGAGAUUGACGCUGAUGCGCGAAAGCCAGGGGAGCAAACGGG